CGGAUGAGAGGAGCUUGCUCCUCGAUUCAGCGGCGGACGGGUGAGUAAUGCCUAGGAAUCUGCCUAGUAGUGGGGGACAACGUUUCGAAAGGAACGCUAAUACCGCAUACGUCCUACGGGAGAAAGUGGGGGAUCUUCGGACCUCACGCUAUUAGAUGAGCCUAGGUCGGAUUAGCUAGUUGGUAGGGUAAAGGCCUACCAAGGCGACGAUCCGUAACUGGUCUGAGAGGAUGAUCAGUCACACUGGAACUGAGACACGGUCCAGACUCCUACGGGAGGCAGCAGUGGGGAAUAUUGGACAAUGGGCGAAAGCCUGAUCCAGCCAUGCCGCGUGUGUGAAGAAGGCCCUCGGGUCGUAAAGCACUUUAAGUUGGGAGGAAGGGCUUCAGCGAAACCUGUGAGUUUUGACGUUCCGACGAAUAAGCACCGGCUACUUCGUGCCAGCAGCCGCGGUAUACGAAGGGUGCAGCGUUAUCGGAAUUACUGGGCGUAAAGCGCGCGUAGGUGGCUUGAAAGUUGGAUGUGAAUCCCCGGGCUCAACCUGGGAACUGCGUCCAGACUGUCUGGCUGAGUGCGGUAGAGGGUAGUGGAAUUUCCGUGUAGCGGUGAAAUGCGUAGAUCUUGGAAGGAACACCAGUGGCGAAGGCGACUACCUGGACUGACACUGACACUGAGGUGCGAAAGCGUGGGGAGCAUACAGGAUUAGAUACUCUGGUAGUCCACGCCGUAGACGAUGUCAACUAGCCCAUUGGUAUCCUUGAGAUCUUAGUGGCGCAGCUAACGCAUUAAGUUGACCGCCUGGGGAGUACGGCCGCAAGGUUAAAACUCUAAUGAAUUGACCGGG
rnacentral:rRNA from 1 species